rnacentral:misc_RNA from 1 species
AACUUUUAGCAAUGGAUCUCUUGGCUCUCACAUCGAUGAAGAACGCAGCGAAAUGCGAUAAGUAAUGUGAAUUGCAGAUUUUCAGUGAAUCAUCGAAUCUUUGAACGCACCUUGCGCCCCUUGGUAUUCCGAGGGGCAUGCCUGUUUGAGUGUCAUCAAAUCCUCAACCCCCCUCCGAUUUGUUUCGGUGGGGGAUUGGACUUGGAGCGUGCUGGCGAAGGUCGGCUCCUCUUUAAAUGCAUCAGCGGAGAAAAUGCCUUUUGCGCCUCUGGCCGUUCAGCGUGAUAAUGACGUUGCGCUGCGGUCGAGCUCAAGGUCCGCUUCCAAAGGUCCUCGGACGAACGUAAACAUGACUUUUGACCUCAAAUCAGGUAGGACUACCCGCUGAAUUUAAGCAUAUCAAUAAGCGGAGGCU